rnacentral:lncRNA from 10 species
GUUCUUUUUUAAAAAAUUUUGUGGGUACAUAGUAGACAUAUAUAUUUAUGGGGUACAUGAGAUGUCUUGACACAGGCAUGCAAUGCAUAAUAAUCAUGUCACAGAAAAUGAGGUAUCCAUCCCCCUAGGCACUUAUCCCUUAUGUUACAAAAAUCCAAUUACACCCUUUUAGUUAUUUUUAAAUGUACAAUUAUUAUUGCCUAUAGUCGUCCCGUUGUGCUUUCAAAUACUAGGUCUUAUUCAUUCUUUCUAAUUAAUUUGUUUGUACUUAUUAACAUCUCUCAUUCUCCUCCAUGGAAUGAAUUCUUUAUAAAUGCAUGUUUAUGUUAGUAAAAACUUCGCUAUUUAAAAUUCUGUUAGGGGAGAUAAAUUCUGUCAAAAUUCUAUAUUUAAUUAUAGAUAUACAACCUAAAUACAUUUUCACUGUAAACUAUUCUAGGGAAAACAGAAGACCCCUCCUGAUUCUCCCCUACCCCAUCACAUACCGAACACAGAGCCCUGCUUCUCCUAGAGAAGCCUAGAAACUUUGUCAAUGGGCUGAAUAAUGCAGAAUAGACCACAGACCAUUUUGUUUUGCUUGCUGUUCCCAUCCGCCAACAUUUUCCUAAAUUUACUUUUCUUCGGGUCACUAUGACUUGUUAUAUAACAUUAGUGAUCUUAGGGAGAUAUAGCUAGAAUUAUAUUCUCCCACAAAUGCUCAAAAUGUAAGGUUAUCUUCCAGCAGCUAAACUUUUGUAUUUUUACAAUUGCCCCUUCUUAUCAAUAGGGCUUAUUAAACGUCCAGUUUCUUCCCUCAGAUCCCUGUGACUAAUCUCCCAAUUUGGAAAGAAUAGACACUUAAAAGUAACUACCAGUUGAUUCCAUGCUAAUUAGGACCCCGGAUUGUUCAAUCUUCUAGAAUGCUGAAAAGUCCCCUUUAUUUACAGUGUUGGGUCUCUAAGGUGGAGCAUAUUUGGUUAAAAUAAAUUAUGAGCUAGUUCUUGAGAAUUGCUAAGUGACAAGCAAAUAAACAAUAACCUACACACAGUGUAGGCCCUCAGAGACUGUGAUUUAAGUGCAUAGAUGAGUUUGGGUGGAAUAAGCAGGACAGCCAAGUGGGAAACAUAAUACCAAGGUAAAUGUGUAUAAUUCCCAUGCAAAGUGUCACGAAUCUAUUAAAAAGCACCUCCCUGAUUUAUUAAAAAUAAAAAGUGAUGCCUGUAAAGGGGAAGAGGGAUGUUGGUGGAGUCUGCUGUUUGCUUUUCUGGAGUCUUCACCUGCAAGUCUACACUAACUUGCCAAAACAAACAAUGUUAGCAAAACUGUCCUCUCAGCAGCUAUAUACUAAAUCCUACAACUCUUCUAUCCGGAAAACCUGGUCAAUUUCAAGAUAGAUAAUGAGCAAAAUAGUCUGACGUUUUGGGGUUUAGGGGAGGGGAAAGGUUGAUCAAACCCACUUACCACAUUGCUGAGUUUUGAAAGACGUGGGAAAAGUGACUUUCCUUGUUAACAAUCCCCCACCCCCUCCCUCGAGCUAAAUGGAAUGCUUUGCUAUGCAAAUAACAAGUCUGAUCUCAGAGGAAGUAAAAGACUCAGGAUAGUAAAAGGAACUCACCUUUUGGAGGUAAAUUAACUCUUCUAAGGCACCAUUGAACAAAUUACUUCUCCAUGCUCUAAAAAUUCUCUUAGUGCCCUAAAACCUCAAAAUCGCCUGAGAUUAAUUUGCUCCUUCGAGGGUCAGGCCUCAUAAAGAGUGAGUCCCACUGGAAAAACAUCUUUUGUCUGCCCUUGUUAAGGUACACAAAAGAAGCAUGUGGAAAUCACUCAGCAACUCGACAUUUGUGGCUGACCCCAACCAACUGGAAUCUGAAGGUUGAAAGUGUCAAGGUUGCAACUGACUUUCUCCAGGGAAGGAAUAUAUUCCCAAGUUGAUCAAAUCGUGUGGAUGCAAGUCUUCCAAUGUGCUCAGUCAACAAAAAUGUCUGAGCCUGGGAUGUCAGGUAACCCACUUUUCAGAAUACUUAAAUCACACAAAGGAGCAUUCUGUUUAGUACUGGGACCACAAUGCUUAAGCUGAGCCUUAAGAAGUCAGUAAGAAUCUUAAUAAGAUUUGGACAUGAU